rnacentral:ncRNA from 1 species
UUCUUCGGGGCAGGGUGACUGAUUACUGUUGAUCCGUAUAGAAGUCAGAAUUCCCUACCGGCGGUAAAGUCCGCGACCCGCAUUAUGCGGUUGAUCUGGUGAAAUUCCAGAACCGACAGUAAAGUCUGGAUGAGAGAAGA